UCUGUGACUCUACGGGAGGCAGCAGUGGGGAAUAUUGCACAAUGGGCGCAAGCCUGAUGCAGCCAUGCCGCGUGUGUGAAGAAGGCCUUCGGGUUGUAAAGCACUUUCAGUUGUGAGGAAGGUGGUGUCGUUAAUAGCGGCAUCAUUUGACGUUAGCAACAGAAGAAGCACCGGCUAACUCCGUGCCAGCAGCCGCGGUAAUACGGAGGGUGCGAGCGUUAAUCGGAAUUACUGGGCGUAAAGCGCAUGCAGGUGGUUUGUUAAGUCAGAUGUGAAAGCCCGGGGCUCAACCUCGGAACUGCAUUUGAAACUGGCAGACUAGAGUACUGUAGAGGGGGUAGAAUUUCAGGUGUAGCGGUGAAAUGCGUAGAGAUCUGAAGGAAUACCGGUGGCGAAGGCGGCCCCCUGGACAGAUACUGACACUCAGAUGCGAAAGCGUGGGGAGCAAACAGGAUUAGAUACCCUGGUAG
rnacentral:rRNA from 1 species